rnacentral:rRNA from 1 species
CCUACGGGGGGCAGCAGUAGGGAAUCUUCGGCAAUGGACGGAAGUCUGACCGAGCAACGCCGCGUGAGUGAAGAAGGUUUUCGGAUCGUAAAGCUCUGUUGUAAGAGAAGAACGAGUGUGAGAGUGGAAAGUUCACACUGUGACGGUAUCUUACCAGAAAGGGACGGCUAACUACGUGCCAGCAGCCGCGGUAAUACGUAGGUCCCGAGCGUUAUCCGGAUUUAUUGGGCGUAAAGCGAGCGCAGGCGGUUAGAUAAGUCUGAAGUUAAAGGCUGUGGCUUAACCAUAGUACGCUUUGGAAACUGUUUAACUUGAGUGCAAGAGGGGAGAGUGGAAUUCCAUGUGUAGCGGUGAAAUGCGUAGAUAUAUGGAGGAACACCGGUGGCGAAAGCGGCUCUCUGGCUUGUAACUGACGCUGAGGCUCGAAAGCGUGGGGAGCAAACAGGAUUAGAUACCCCAGUAGUC